UUCUCAAAAUACGGAAGAGGAAGGCUAUAUGAACUUGACUCGUAGGAGAUGCUUCCCUCCAUGCGUUGAACACUUCUGACCAAGAACAAUACACCCUUUUUGCAAGAAAAAAAAGUGACGUCCUGCAACCCGAGUAAUUAGUGUAUACCAAAACCAAUUUAUUUACCGAUAAGCUAAAUCGGUUAAGAGACAUCUAAUCCAGAACUUUCUUUUUAACAAAAGAACAAAUUUCAUUCGAAACGUUUCAAUUACUUCCUUGUUCUAAAUUCAAUAUAAAAGACCUUGUCUUUUCUUUGAUUUUUACAUUGAAGUAUCAAUAUGAAUUUUCUUCUAUCUGGACUAGCUUUUGUACUGAUCGCCGGCAUGGCAAAUGCUGAAUGGACCCAACCUGUUUGUUGCACACGACCUAUUCCGUGCCCCUACGUUGAAAUUUGUGUGCGUCCACGUGGCGAAUAAAUGGAUUCUAGAAUAAUGAUGUAAA